rnacentral:RNase_P_RNA from 3 species
ACGGGCUGGCGGGCGGUCGCGUCGCGGCACUUCGGUGCUCGCGCCGAGGAACGUCCGGGCUGCACAGAGGAGAACGGUGGGUAACACCCACCCGGGGCGACCCGCGAGAAAGUGCAACAGAGAGUAGACCGCCCGAUGCGGCACGCUGCAUCGGGUAAGGGUGAAAGGGUGGUGUAAGAGACCACCGGCGUUCGUGGUGACACGGGCGGCCAGGUAAACCUCGUUCGCAGCAAGGCCAGACAGCAGACGUCGACGCUCCUCGCCGAGUCUGCGGGUAGGCCGCUAGAGGGUGUCGGCAACGGCGCCCCGAGAGAGAUGACCGUCACCGGCCGGUUCGCCGGCCGGGACAGAACCCGGCGUACAGCCGGCCCGUUCCC